UUUAGAAAUCCUGCUGGUUAAAAAUAGUGACUAACCUUUAUUCUUCUUGGUUUUACAGGCAAUUAAUUGAGGGUGGUGACGGUGUCACCGUCAGUUAAAUAAUGAAAAAUCGACUUGUUGAUGCGAUAUCACUAAAUAUUGCUUGUCAGACGGCCCCUGGGAGGCUGAAUUAGAAUGUUUUACUUUCCCUCCCAAAUAGACAUACAUAGUUCUAAGAAAAUACUAAAAGAGAUUUACUAUUCGUAGGUGAUCUUGAUGUUUGUUGGUUGUGGUGGUUAAUGACGAGAAGGAUGACUGAGUUGCCCUUAUGAUUGCCUGAUAGUAAUUACUCACCAACCUUGGAAUGGACAGAUAGUCUGAAAGUGUGAAACGCGGUGUGGGCUUCAAACGGUCCUUUAAAAGACAACUUUCUACUCACCAAUAUUGAUGGGACAUGGGAGAAGACUGAAGAGCUGAGGGGAAGCACUUACUGGGGAAAAAAUGAUGAAAUGCUUUUUCUCUGAGAGAUCUUUACUGACCAGAUGUUUACUUAUUUGUUUUCUUUAUUUUGGCUCUUUGUUGUUUGCCGUUUCUGUGGGAACUUAAGGCUUGUAAAUCUGGGUAAAGAGGAAUUUGAGAUGAGAUAGUCACGAAGUAAGAUCACGAAUGAGCCCAGAGCCAAUUGUGGAUAAAAGCUGAGUAAAUCACGGAGCUGAUCCCUCAUUUUUAAAUCAGUUGCUAGACAAUUUUAUAAGCCUUCUCCAAGGGCAUGUAUCAUCCAAGGUUAUUCCUCCAAGAACCAUCUUAGAAAAGGUUUACCUAUUAAGAACAAAGUGGUGAGAGUGCGACUCUGCCUGAAUUUUGGAUGUUUGGAAAAAAGGAAUCCCACUGAGACUGAAGAUGAGAGGUGGGAGAUUUACAGAGAAUUGUUUUUGCCCACAGUGGGGAACAGAGGAGUGCUAUUCUCUGGAUCACACAGCUGGUUGUGUCAGAGCCUAUACUCAUCCCAUGUCAUCUGAGUCCAGAGAAGGGACAAGAAAUGAGACAAGACCCUUGAACUUGCUCUAUGACCUGGAGUUUCAGUAAUGGUCUGGCUGACUCUAUGGCUGUGGGCUGGUUUAGAUGUCUGUGAGGUUCACAGCUGGAGCCAAACCAGACUCCUGAGGACAUAGCAUGGACGUGUGGUGUGCUGGGAAGCAGUGGCCGAGGUGUUGGCAUGCAAAUGCUUGCAAAGUGAAAAUGGAUACACUUCCACAGCUCCUCAUCGCUGGCCUCCAGCGGACAGCCUGCCAACUGUGCACGCAUGUUGGUUUGGCACCAAGACAAGCAUUCCCUGGAGCAUAGACUGAAACCACCAAACCGACAUCACAUGGGACGUCAGUCAAACCUUGACCUUGCUGUCUGCAGAUGGAGUGACCGAGAGACUACAAUGUGACAUCACCGACAGGCGGUGACCUAAGGAGUCAGGGCCAGAAGCAGGUCUGGGAUGCAGACUUCCUGGCGCUGACCCAGGCUCCCUUCUGCCACGCGGCCUUCGCAGGGAAGCUGGAAGGACCAGGGAAGUAUGCUUGCAGCACUCUCUCCCUUGCCCUGGGAGGUUUAUCAUCUAUUGACCGAAUGUUGACCAAAAACACACUAAUUCCUGAGGAGGCCUUGCAGGAUGUCCUGUUGAGACUUUUCCUCCUUUUUUUGUCAGUGCUCUGCUGGCAGAUUAAAAUUCGGUGGACCCCGUUUGUAGGAAGUCUGAUAAAAUAUUCUCAUCUCUAUUGCAAACAAUUUCUCCAUCUGCUGCUUGGCUGGGAGGAUCAAACUCAAACACCCUCACGAGAGGGGAGAGUGAUACCAGGCAGAGGAAGGUACAGGAAACAGCAAGCUUUUGUGUCCGGACACAAUGUCUACCUGAUCUAUUGUCUGAUGGAGCUGAUUAGUCAGCUCUGUUAGGCAGCUGUAUUUUCUUUCCCCAAAUGACUGAGUGCACCUAAGAUUCUUUUGCCCGUUAUUUAGUCUCUUGCAGAUGCAGCUCUGUCCAUGCAGCGUGUAAAUCUGUAAGAGAAACAAUGCGUUUGGGGGUGGGCAGGUGGGCUAUGGGGGAAGAAGACAGGAGAAGACAAGCAGCGAGGACAGAAAAGCUGAUCUGAGAAAGUCAGGGUGGCUGGCAAGAGACGUCGAUGGAAGUCAGUGCAGUUCACUUAAGAAGGUAUUUAUAAAAUAGACUGUUAGCAAAGAAAUGUGUUGGGAUGAAUAGAAAAUAAAAAAGAAAUAACAUUCGUCUUGAAUUGGCCAGGGAAGAAUUCCUUCCUUCAACAAAUGCUCAGUAUGUGCCUACUGUGUUGCAGGCAUUUUUCUGGGUCCUGGAGAUAUACUGUGAGCAAAAAAGGACAGGGAGCCUACCGUCUCCGAACUAACACUGCCCUGGGAGAGAGCAAAAGGAAAAUGCACCCCCAGCUUGGGAAAAAUCCCAGCGGGGGAAUAAAGAAGUCAUUGUGGUAUGGAGCAUCAGGAUAGGGGGUGGGGUGGGCUGGUGCUAUUUCAGAUUAGGAGAGUCCUCUCUUGAGAGGUGCCUUUAAACCAGACAUACGAAGAUCUAGGGAAGAGCUUUAUAGGCAAUGGGAAUUUCGGCAGAGGUCUGAGAAGAGAAGUCUCGGCACAUUGUAGGAACUAUUGUAAAGACUACACAAUUGGAGUGUAGUGGGGAAAAAGUAGACAAAGCCAAAACAGGAGGGACUCUAGGUGAGAAAUGACAGAAAUUGGACUAAGGAGUAGCAGUCGGAUGGAGACGAAUGGAUGCAUUCAAGAUCCUCCUUGGUUGCGGGGGCAGGAAGGUGGCAAGAUCAAUGGUCCUGGCUGAGGGAUUGGACGUAAAAGUCAAGUAACAGCCCUCCGGAAUCUUUGUGAUACUUGCUUCUGGUCUAUGGUGGUACCACUUACCAUGACGGGAAGCUCAAGGAGGGAACAUCCUUACAAAGCAUAAAAUAAAGAAUUCUACUAGGAGGAUGUAUAGAUUGACAGGGAUAUCCAAUUAGACAUGGUAACUAUGUAUGGUUAUACGUGGUUGUUCUUCUCAAGCUUACGAAGUCUAGGUUAAAGACAUGUAAACUAUUGAUACAGAAAGAAAUAACAAAUAUACAGUAAAAGUGUUACGUGUGUUCAGAGAAUGAAUCAAUUAAUUCAGACUAGGGAGUAUAGACGACUUUAAAAGCAUUCCAAGUUCAGGAAAGUCUAUAAGCGAAGAAGCAGAGAGUAGAUAGAGGACGAAGUAGAGAAAUGCCUUUGUAAGAUGAAAACUGAAGGCUGAUGAUUAGUGAUAUCAAAAGUACUGUACUUCUAAAUCCUUCCUCAGAGAGAGUUAUCUGGGAGAAAAUGAUGGUCAAGCCACACACUGAGAAAAAGUAUUUGCAAUACAUAUAUGUGGCAAUGGACUCCUAGCAUCAUAUGUAAAGAACUCCUACAAAUGAACAAUAAAAAGACACACAAAAGUGGGUAAAAAUCUUGAAAAGAUGCCUCACAAAAGAACAUUUACUGAUAGCAAGAAGCAGAUGGAAAGUUGUUAGUCAGCAGGGAAAUGCAAAUUAAAACUGCAGUGAGCUACCAUUCUACAUGCGUAAAAAUGGCUUAGAAAAUAAGACUGUCGAUAGCAAAUUGGAGCACAUGGAGCAACCAAAACUUCACUGUAUUAUUGGUAGUGGUGUGAAAUGGAACUAACCACUUUGGAGAACUAUUUGGUAGUUUCUUAAAAAGUCGAACAUGCGUCUAUUGCUUGACCUAGCAACAGCAAGCAAAUUCUAGGUAUUCACCCCCAAAUGUAAACAUAUAUACAUAGUAUGGCUUGUACAAAAAUGGGCUUAGUCAGAGUAGUCCCAAAGUGAAAACAACCCAGAUUUCCACUGACAAGACAAGGACUAAAUAAAACAAUGAUCUAUCCUUAUAAUGCAGCACUAUUCAGGAAUACAAAGGAACAAACCACUGAUAAAGUCACCUUUACUAGGGGUGCUGCAUAAUUCCACUUACCUGAGUGUCUAGACCAGGAAAAAGUAAUCUACAAUAACAGAAAUGAGAGAGCAAUUGCUGGGCAGGGACACAAGGACAUUUUCUAGGGUGAAGGAAAUGGCCUAUAUCUUGUGUAAGUGGUGGUUACAUUGGUGUAUACAAUUGCAAAAACUCAUUGAUGUGAACAUUCAAGGUCUUAAGGUUGAUGUAUUUUAUUGUACGUAAGUUAUAUCUUAAUUAGACAAAAACAAAAACCUGAAUACUCCAUCUCCAGAGCCAACAUAGUUAGAUUACUUCCCAGUUUUAAGGAAAAAAACCAGAAGAUGACUAUAUGGUAAACAUUUAUCAAAAUAAAAUGGAUGUGUUUACAUUAGGAGGGUCUUGUGGCUUGUUUUCUAAGAAGCACACACAGCUGUUGGGUUGUCUGUAAUCAUGUAGGCAUGUUGAUACGUUGUCGAAUUAGAGACCUGAAAUUGUUUUGGUAGGUAUAGUUCAAUACAACCUACAUCUAUGUGACACCUGUUAUAUGCUGGGCCCUGGUGUGCUGCUGUGUUUCCUAAAACAGCCCAUUGGCACCUCAAGGACUUUUGUCUUCUCUUUCCCCUGGCUUCUCCACAGUACAGCUCUGAUCCUCCCCACUGAUUUCUCAGAGGAUAAUACUUGGUGCAGAGCAGUCCAUGCUUUGGAAAUCAAAGAGUAGAACAAGUAAAGAAAAUACAGAAAAUAACAUUAAUGUCUUCAUUUUCUAUCCUUUUAAUUCCCAUAUUAAAGGCCAAACUGAAGACAACUG